rnacentral:tRNA from 1 species
GGUUCGAUGGUCUAGGGUAUGAUUCUCGCUUCGGGUGCGAGAGGUCCCGGGUUCAACUCCGGUCGAACCC